AUGGAGCCGACCGGCCGGAGUACCAAGAGGAUGAGACCCGCGCCACCCGACAUCCACCAAUCGACGCCAGGUCCAGCGGAGACGACCGAUCUGGAAGCCACGACCGCGGGGAGAACCCAACACCCGCCGCCGGGAGCUGGGAGAGAUGGCGGCGAGGGGUCGCCGGACCGCAUCAGCGAUCUUCCCGACGCGGUCCUCGGCGAGAUAAUCUUCCUCCUCCCCACCAAGGACGGCGCCCGCACUCAAGCCCUCGCGUCCCGGUGGCGCCACCUCUGGCGCGCCUCCCCUCUCAACCUCGACUGCCGGGGCCUCUCCGGCAACUUCCCCGGCGCCAUACUCUCCGCCCACGGGGGCCCCGUCCACCGCCUCUGCCUCCCGUCGCUCCUCCUCCAGUACAGAGCCGAUGUGGCAGGCACCUGGCUCCGCUCCCCCUCCCUGGACAAGCUCCAGGAGCUCGAGUUCUACCUAGAGCUGCCAAUAACAUACAGAUUUUCGUUCUCAAGGUUACAGCUGCUGCAACCACCGCCGGCGUCCAUCUUCAGGUUCUCGUCCACUCUCCGCGUUGCCACCAUCAGUCAGUGCCAUCUCCCGGACAAUACUGUGGAGACGCUUCAGUUUCCCCUGCUCAAGAAGCUUGCGCUCGUGGAGGUCAAAAUCUCGGAGGGCUUGCUGCAGAGCAUCAUCACCUCCGGCUGCCCUGCCCUGGAAAGCUUGUUGCUCAGGACUAGUUUUGACAUCCGUGGUCUCAGGAUCAACUCCCCUAUCCUUAAAAGUAUAGGCGUUCAUUCUAGGUUUGUAGAACUCAUCAUUCAGGAUGCUCCUUCACUUGAAAGAUUGCUCUGUCUGAGAAUGGAUAUGAGAAUGCGAGUGUCAGUAAUCUCCGCACCUAGACUGGCGACCUUGGGUUACAUUUCUCAGGAUUCACCGGACUCCAAAAUCAUGUUUGGCUCCACAGUUAUUCAGAGAUUGUGCGUUGUUAGCCUGACAAUGGUGGUGCGUACUGUCAAGAUCUUGGCUGUCCAUAUGAAUUUUAAUCUGGAUAUGGUUAUUGAGUUGAUGAAAUGCUUCGUAUGCCUGGAGAAGUUGUAUAUGAAGAUUCAGACAGAUUCACCAGCAGGAACAAAUUUCUGGCGUCAUAAACACCGGAAUUUUAUCACAUCUCAGGACAUUCGUUUGAAGACCUUAGUGCUAGGGCAUUACCGAGGCAUCCAGGCACAAGUUAACUUUGUCACAUUCUUCAUACUGAAUGCGAAACUGCUAGAGUCCAUCCGACUUGAGGUUGAUUCCAGGGAUUACAAUGACGGAUUUUUCGCAGAACAAUGUAGGAUGCUUCAGAUGGAGAAAAGGGUUUCUAGAGGUGCUCAGCUCUGUGUUACAACAGGUUCUCACAAUGAUGUUUCGAGCACCGUUGACCUCAGUGAUUUGGAUUUGGUUGAUCCAUUCACAUGUAGAUGUUGA
rnacentral:rRNA from 1 species